rnacentral:lncRNA from 1 species
AGCUGUCGAGGCGUGGCAGUUAACUGUAGGACAGACAACUCCCCCUUGAUCUGGAACAUUCUGUGUUGUGGUCAGAAAGGAGACGACCAAGGACAGGGCUGGGGAAUGUGAGGAACAUGGCUUGGGGCCUGAGCCUCGAACAACAGCAAUGAAAUUUGAUACGAGGCGGCUGCUCACGGGGUUUUUUGAGAGACCAUUGUUGGAAGGAUUGGUGAGUAUUUUCUAAGCCCCAUUGACUUCAGGGAAUC